CUGCUGCCUCCCGUAGGAGUUUGGGCCGUGUCUCAGUCCCAAUGUGGCCGUCCACCCUCUCAGGCCGGCUACUGAUCGCUGCCUUGGUGGGCCGUUACCCCGCCAACUAGCUAAUCAGACGCGGAUCCAUCGUAUACCACCGGAGUUUUUCACACUGCCCCAUGCGGAGCCGUGCGCUUAUGCGGUAUUAGCACCUAUUUCUAAGUGUUAUCCCCCGGUAUACGGCAGGUUGCCCACGCGUUACUCACCCGUCCGCCACG
rnacentral:rRNA from 1 species